GGGGAAGCCGGUGCGAAUCCGGCGCUGACCCGCAACCGUGACCCGGCCCGCAUGCACUGCGGCCGGGAAGCCGGAAUGCCC
rnacentral:ncRNA from 2 species